rnacentral:rRNA from 1 species
GACGAACGCUGGCGGCGUGCUUAACACAUGCAAGUCGAACGGAAAGGCCCUGCUUUUGUGGGGUGCUCGAGUGGCGAACGGGUGAGUAACACGUGAGUAACCUGCCCUUGACUUUGGGAUAACUUCAGGAAACUGGGGCUAAUACCGGAUAGGAGCUCCUGCUGCAUGGUGGGGGUUGGAAAGUUUCGGCGGUUGGGGAUGGACUCGCGGCUUAUCAGCUCGUUGGUGGGGUAGUGGCUUACCAAGGCUUUGACGGGUAGCCGGCCUGAGCGGGUGACCGGCCACAUUGGGACUGAGAUACGGCCCAGACUCCUACGGGAGGCAGCAGUGGGGAAUAUUGCACAAUGGGCGGAAGCCUGAUGCAGCAACGCCGCGUGCGGGAUGACGGCCUUCGGGUUGUAAACCGCUUUCGCCUGUGACGAAGCGUGAGUGACGGUAAUGGGUAAAGAAGCACCGGCUAACUACGUG